rfam:Cricetulus griseus cell line CHO-K1, whole genome shotgun sequence.
UUCUGAUCUGGCUGCCACAUCUGUUAUACCAUUGAUUACCAGAGUUUAUUAAGUUGAUCUGGUUGGCUAGGCAGGAAUCCUCCUUCACCUCCAUCAACUCUGUCUCCCUCUGGAAGAUGCACACUUGGCCAAAGAGGAUGACCUUUCCCAAGUAGAAGAAACCUGUUUUUAGUCAAGUUUAUAUGGAUAGCUGUGAUCUUCUGCUGGAACCAAACAACCACUUAAGCUUUGGAAAGUAUACUUAAAACUGCUAUAUAGACAUCAUGAUAGGAGUUUGAUAU